UCUCUGCUGAUUUCCUAGAUAUGUCUUAAAGACAGGGCUGCUUAUUUACGGACAGAUGUUCUGCAUUCAUAUUCACUCCUUGAGCUUUCACGUUUCAGGGGAAGAUUUCCUUAAAGAAAAUCUCAGUAUAGCUACUGAGGCAAAAUGAUGGAUGUUCCUCCUUUGGACUGGAAUUAUACAACGUAAUAAGUGGAAUUAUACAACGUAAUAAGUUCAAUGCUCAUUAAACGAACCCGACCAGAGUACGGCCGGUAGACAAAAUCAAAGCAGGUCCCAACAUAAAGAAACAGAUUCUCCUCCUGAAAGUCCCCCACCUUCUGUGUCCCUCCUUUCCACGAAUACCCUUUACCUUGGGACAAGAGGACACGGUUUGGGCUCUGAAGUGAUGCACUUAGAACGCAUCUCAUUGUAGGCAUGAAAACUAUUUGAAAUCUAGCUUAACCUCUUUGCCGUGGUGCUGCUUUAUAAAUUCAACAACAACAAAAUAGAAAAACACAAAGACAUUUAUUACCUGGAGGAUUAUUCAGAGGGGAAAAAAAGAGGGGAGAGGAGAGAGCAACAGCUCCUUUAUUUCUAAAAUAAUCAAAGAACUUUAGAGAAAGGUAAAGAUUAAUAAUAUUCCCUCCUCUCGUCCUCCCAACCCAUGCCGCCCGCCCCUAGCAACAUGGACUCCUGAUGUGAAUUUUGUUAAGUUUGUGUCCUAAGUAGAGUUUCGGAACAAAAAGCUCUCUCCGUGGCUCACAGAAGGAAAGCCGGGCUUGCGGGGCGCCUCUCCUCGGGGUGCAGGCGGGACCUGCCCGCAGCGAACCGCUCCCCAGACCCUGCGCCCCCGGCCGGCCCAGCGACGGCUGCAGCCAGACGUCUCGCCGGUCCUUUCGGAUCAGGACCUUGUGGACAAGCUGCGCGCGACGCAGACUUCCUGGGCGCACCGCCACCUGGUGCGCAACUCGGGGAAGGACCACCCUCCGGGCCACAGGCCUGGGAGAGCGGAGAGGGACCGCGCUGCGGGGCCAGGCUGAGUCUCCGCCCCAGAGCCCUAGGCGAAGUCACCUACAACCGCGAAUGGGCGCGCACAGCUGACACAUUACCUCGAGCAAGGUGACGCCCAGGGCAUCUGAAGACAUCUGCGGAAAAGCCUCAAAGACCACGUGAGAUUACGUCAUCUUUUCGGUCCCCAGCAUCAGAGUCCCCCCCCCCUCCAUGGGCCCUUCUUACAAAGUCACAAUUAAACAUUUUCUUACCUUCGCGGUUGCUCUCUAAGAUCACAAAACCUCAUGAAUGCACGCUUUAUUAACAAAGUUCAAAUAUAAUAGGCAUUUAAAAUACUUACUGUUAUUCUAUUAA